GUGGGAAUGGCGGACUAACUGGUGGGCUCAGAGCUUGAGAACUGUCCUUCCUCCGUAGCACCCAAGCCUGGACUCCAUGCAGCGCUGAGAACUGUUCAGAGUCAGCUAAUGAGGACACACAUUCUCCCUUCUAGUGUGGGAGACUGUGCCUCAAGAAAAUGCUAUCAUUCACAUCGACUGUAUUUUCAAUGUUUUUUUCUAUUUGAGCCCAAUUUGGGGGAUGACUGUCAAGAUCCUGUUGCAAAUAUCUGGAGGGCAGCCCCGGGCUGGGUCUGGGUGGAAGAAACAUGACUUUGAAGAUGCUCCCCUCCACAGUGGUGUAUUCUAUGCCCCAUCCUUGUUCCAGAUCUUUGUCUCAGCCUUCUCCCUGCCAAACCAACGCCCAGACAUAAAUAUACUCCAGGCCAGUUUCCCCUGUAUCUAAGAGCCUGGGGACACCUUUGGCAUUCUCCACUCUCAAAGAGCCUUCCUCUGUGAGGAGCUGCAGGAACGGAGCUGGAUGGUACAGAGUGAGGAAGAAGAGUGAACAGCAGAUCUAACGGAAAGGGUUCCUCAUGACCUUGUGAGGGAAGGAUAGGAUUGAAGAAAGAAGCCUGGUGGAGGAAGCAGUCAUGUUCGAGGUCAUUUGGGAGUCCACGUGGCUUGGGCUCAAGGGCUGCUCAGGUGUGAAGUCCACUCUGGAGACUUGGGGGUGCCCUUCCUGCUCAGGUGUGAAGUCCACUCCGGAGACUUGGGGGUGCCCUUCCUCUCACGUGGCUUCCCUUGCUAUGGUAUAUAUAUACUGUACACAGAUGUCUGGCCCCUCUGAGGCUAGGGGCGUGAAGGAUGAGAAAUGAACAGCAGGCAAUGAGAAAUCAGAGAGAACAGAAUGAAAAUCUGAGUGGGGUCCAGUUAUCUGGUUUUGUAACUUUAAGCAAAUCACUCAAAUCUUCUCAUGGCUUUGGUUUCUUUAGCUACAAAAAAUUGAAGGCAACCAUUCUCAAUCCACUGGGUUUAUUUGAUUAUCAAAUGAAUUAAAAGCAUAUAUGUGGGAAUGUUUUAGAAACUCUAACAAGCAAACAUUGGCUAUUUCUUAAGCAGGUAUUAUUAUUAAUAAUCAAAUUGUCCUGUUGAAUAGGACUGUAUCUCUAAGAACUGGCAUUAAACUCCAUUUUUCUAUUCAAAUUAUAACAUUAUAACAUUAUAAAUUAAUGCUAUAAAUAAAUAUAUAUAUAAAUAUAAAUAAAAUUAUAACAUUAACAGACUAAGACACAAUCUUUCUCAGUAAUAUUAAAAAGAAUAACAGAUACAAAUGUCUAAAAUAAUGGCAUUUACCCAGGAUUACCUGGAAUUCAUUGGGCUCAGUCAUCCAGUGAUCUAUCAGACUUGUACACAUUAAUUAAUUCUUUUAACAAAUAGGUUUUUAUUGAGUACUCUUUUGUUUCACUAUGAUUCUACACAGAGAUUCACAACAGUAUUCAAAGAUGGACUUCAAGUGGUCCCUGAACCUAUUGAUCAUGUAUGGAGGGGAAUGUGGGGAUGACUUCUGUCAUCAGAGUCUCAUAGAACUCUGUAAAACCAGCCCCCUCUUCAAAUCUAAAGUUAAGAAACACCAUUUCAGGGAUGUAUCAAGUGAAGGA
ensembl:lincRNA